GUCCCGCAACGAGCGCAACCCUUGUCCUUAGUUACCAGCACGUUAUGGUGGGCACUCUAAGGAGACUGCCGGUGACAAACCGGAGGAAGGUGGGGAUGACGUCAAGUCAUCAUGGCCCUUACGGCCUGGGCUACACACGUGCUACAAUGGUCGGUACGAAGGGUUGCCAAGCCGCGAGGUGGAGCUAAUCCCAUAAAACCGAUCGUAGUCCGGAUCGCAGUCUGCAACUCGACUGCGUGAAGUCGGAAUCGCUAGUAAUCGUGAAUCAGAAUGUCACGGUGAAUACGUUCCCGGGCCUU
rnacentral:rRNA from 1 species